rnacentral:rRNA from 1 species
AUGGGUGGUCUCUCUCUUCAGCACCCGUGGGCCUUUGCCUUUGGCCUCCUAGGCAACGUCAUCUCGUUCAUGACCUACCUGGCCCCACUGCCGACAUUCUACCGGAUCUACCGGAGCAAGUCGACGCAGGGGUUCCAGUCGGUCCCUUACGUGGUGGCGCUCUUCAGCGCGAUGUUGUGGAUCUACUACGCGCUGCUCAAGUCUGACGAGUGCCUCCUCAUCACCAUCAACUCCGCCGGCUGUGUCAUUGAGACCAUCUACAUCAUCAUCUACCUCACCUAUGCACCAAAGCAAGCCAAGCUCUUCACGGCGAAGAUCCUCCUCCUCCUGAAUGUGGGUGUGUUCGGGCUUAUCCUCCUGCUCACCCUGCUCCUGUCGGAGGGCGAGAAGCGCGUUGUCAUGCUCGGGUGGGUUUGCGUCGGCUUCUCCGUCAGCGUCUUCGUCGCGCCCCUCAGCGUUAUCCGCCUUGUGGUGCGUACCCGGAGUGUGGAGUUCAUGCCCUUUUCCCUCUCCCUCUCCCUCACCGUCAGCGCAGUCGUCUGGUUCCUCUACGGCCUCCUCAUCAAGGACAAAUAUGUUGCCCUGCCCAACAUUCUUGGGUUUGCCUUCGGUGUGAUUCAAAUGGGGCUCUACACCCUCUACCGCAACGCCACACCUACACCGGCGCCCAAGCAGGUGGACGAUGAUGAUGCUGUCAAGGUGCCCGAGCAUGUGGUCAACAUCUCCAAGCUUGGCCCAGCGGCUGCCAUCGAGCUCAACACACACAAUCCCAUCGAACCAGGGAUGCCACCGCUGAUGAAGGAAAACAGCUUGGCAUGCACCAGCGACGAGACCAAGGGGGGUGUUGACAAGGCAACCCACGUCGAGCAAGUCUAG